AGCAAAUACGUCACAUUAUGUUGUUGUUUAUAUGCAUAUAAAUUUAAAUAAUAAAUGUUUUUAGAAAUAAAGUUUUUUUAGGUUUUCAGCUGCAGGUUCAUCCACCAAGGAAUCAGCAUCAGCCACGGGACAAACGAGAAGGAAGUUCGACUACCAAAUAUGGUUCGUGGGCGGGCACGACCAUUGAUAUCAUAUGGUACGACAGCGCGUCAAAACCCACUAUGUCAUAUCCGCUGUGUCAUUGUUAAAUGUAAACAUCAGACUCGUGCUGGCAGUAAAUCUUUACCAACAAGAUGUGUGCUUCAUUAUACAUUUUUUAUUAAUCAAAUAUAAUUAUCAGUGUGGUGACAGUUUUUAUUCAGCAGUGUCUCUUUUGGUAAUUGUAUAUAACAUUUGGAACAUCAUUUGUUUUUGUUUUAAAAUAAAACAAAAAAAGAGGAGAAAAACAAUUGUAAAAUAUAACAUAACACAGCCUGAGAUGGCACAAUAUCAUUUCCUGCCAUUUUAAACAUUCUUUGAUUCCUGGGUACUUAAAAAUUAACAAUUAAAUAUAGUUAAAAUUUUAAAUUUUCUGAGCUGAAAAGGCACUGAUUACUGAAUUUGUUGUUUUUCAUGAUAUGGAUUUAUGAUGAGUAUCCAGGUUUUAAAGGUUACUGAUUUGUGGUGCGCAGGACCAGUUUUAUUUUGUUUGUUUGUUUGUUUGUUUAUUUGUUUGUUUGUUUGCUUGUUUUGUUUUGUUAAAUGUCACAUGUGUGAGGAUUUCCAUGUUAGUAAAGAUAUAAAUUUAUAUCUGUGCCUGGAAUUCUGUUAGGAGCCUUCAAUAGGUUGAAACUCCUGAAGCACGUAAGUAUCUGACAUUGCUUAUUUACCACCUCCUCCAUCUAUUUCUGUGUUUUUAGGGAGAAAUGUGUCAUUGCCCUUUACAACAGCUGAGGUCUCAGAGGAUCCAAAAUGACUGAAAGGAAGAACUGAGGAGAUCUUUCUAAAAGGGAGGGAGUCUGAACAGACCUACAAUACUACCACCACCGCUCUCCAUCUCCUGUAUGCUGACAAGGAUCACUCAUGCUUCUUCAUCUGUCAGUGGGAAUGGUUUGCAGAGCGUGUUGACCUUUCAAAAGUUUCAUUUUAAGUUUAAUAUUUAAGACAUCUGGGUGUCACUUUUUUAUUUUCUACAAAGUUAACAUGUGAUUAUGUAACUUUGAAUAAAGCUAUUUAAAAUGUAUUCAAAGAAAAAACAUUAAAUCACCUCCAGGGUUUUAUAUAUAUAUAUAUAUAUAU